GACCGUGCCGCUGUUUAGUUUGCUUGCAUCCACUGAGGCACGGAUAAAUCAGCAUGUGUCAAGAGUUUCUGCACACAUGAAAGGAACUGGACUUGUCAAAUCAAUCUCUGACUAAAUGAGGCCACCAGGAAGACAGAAUGAGGUGGCUGCUUCCGGAGUUACGCAGUAGCCUAAAUAGACUGUGUUGGAGGAAAAUGGUCAAUUCAUACAAUUUAACAAGUUUAUCCUGCUCAAGGUCUAUACAAGGUGACUCCGGAUCAAAGGCAGAGCAUAUCGACAGACAACCAUCCACACUAAGUGAAAACUGAACCCAUACUGCCUGCAUGGAAGUCAGGCGAGUGAACCUCUACACCAUCCUGACCUGAUGUAACCUACAGAAGUAACCAAAUAAUUCCACACGACUCUUAGUACGAUGCAGUACAGUUCCACA